rnacentral:rRNA from 1 species
UACGGAGGGGGUAAGCGUUGUUCGGAAUUACUGGGCGUAAAGGGCGCGUAGGCGGCCAACUAAGUCGGACGUGAAAUCCCUCAGCUUAACUGGGGAACUGCGUCCGAUACUGGAUGGCUUGGAUUUGGGAGAGGGAUGCGGAAUUCCAGGUGUAGCGGUGAAAUGCGUAGAUAUCUGGAGGAACACCGGUGGCGAAGGCGGCAUCCUGGACCAAUAUUGACGCUGAGGAGCGAAAGCCAGGGGAGCAAACGGG